rnacentral:rRNA from 1 species
AUUGGACGCUGGCGGCAUGCCUUACACAUGCAAGUCGAACGGCAGCACGGGAGCAAUCCUGGUGGCGAGUGGCGAACGGGUGAGUAAUAUAUCGGAACGUGCCCAGUCGUGGGGAUAACGUAGCGAAAGCUACGCUAAUACCGCAUACGAUCUAUGGAUGAAAGCGGGGGAUCGCAAGACCUCGCGCGAUUGGAGCGGCCGAUAUCAGAUUAGGUAGUUGGUGAGGUAAAGGCUCACCAAGCCGACGAUCUGUAGCUGGUCUGAGAGGACGACCAGCCACACUGGGACUGAGACACGGCCCAGACUCCUACGGGAGGCAGCAGUGGGGGAAUUUUGGACAAUGGGCGCAAGCCUGAUCCAGCAAUGCCGCGUGCAGGAUGAAGGCC